GCCAUGCUAGUUGCACGAGUUCAGACUCGUAGCAGAUAGCUCAGUAACACGUGGCCAAACUACCCUAUGGAUCCGGAUAACCUCGGGAAACUGAGGCUAAUCCGGAAUACGACUCCCAGCCUGGAAGUGGCGAGAGUCAGAAACGCUCCGGCGCCAUAGGAUGUGGCUGCGGCCGAUUAGGUAGACGGUGGGGUAACGGCCCACCGUGCCCAUAAUCGGUACGGGUUGUGAGAGCAAGAGCCCGGAGACGGUAUCUGAGACAAGAUACCGGGCCCUACGGGGCGCAGCAGGCGCGAAACCUUUACACUGCACGAAAGUGCGAUAAGGGGACUCCAAGUGCGAGGGCAUAUAGUCCUCGCUUUUCACCACCGUAAGGAGGUGGUAGAAUAAGUGCUGGGCAAGACCGGUGCCAGCCGCCGCGGUAAUACCGGCAGCACGAGUGAUGACCGCUCUUAUUGGGCCUAAAGCGUCCGUAGCUGGCCACGCAAGUCUAUCGGGAAAUCCGCGCGCUCAACGCGCGGGCGUCUGGUGGAAACUGCGUGGCUUGGGACCGGAAGACCUGAGGGGUACGUCUGGGGUAGGAGUGAAAUCCCGUAAUCCUGGACGGACCACCGGUGGCGAAAGCGCCUCAGGAAGACGGAUCCGACGGUGAGGGACGAAAGCUCGGGUCACGAACCGGAUUAGAUACCCGGGUAGUCCGAGCUGUAAACGAUGUCUGCUAGGUGUGCCACAGGCUACGAGCCUGUGGUGUGCCGUAGGGAAGCCGUGAAGCAGACCGCCUGGGGAGUACGUCCGCAAGGAUGAAACUUAA
rnacentral:rRNA from 1 species